rnacentral:rRNA from 1 species
GAUGAACGCUAGCGAUAGGCCUAACACAUGCAAGUCGAGGGGCAUCACAUGAAGUAGCAAUACGGAUGGUGGCGACCGGCGCACGGGUGAGUAACACGUAUGCAACCUGCCUUCAACAAGGGGAUAACCCGUUGAAAGACGGACUAAUACCCUAUAACACAGGGGUCCCGCAUGGGAAUAUUUGUUAAAGGACAACCGGUUGAAGAUGGGCAUGCGUUCCAUUAGCUAGUUGGCGGGGUAACGGCCCACCAAGGCAACGAUGGAUAGGGGAACUGAGAGGUUUAUCCCCCACACUGGUACUGAGACACGGACCAGACUCCUACGGGAGGCAGCAGUGAGGAAUAUUGGUCAAUGGACGCAAGUCUGAACCAGCCACGUCGCGUGAAGGAAGACGGCCCUACGGGUUGUAAACUUCUUUUAUACGGGAAUAAAGUGCCCCACGCGUGGGGUUUUGCAUGUACCGUAUGAAUAAGGAUCGGCUAACUCCGUGCCAGCAGCCGCGGUAAGUCUGA